rnacentral:rRNA from 1 species
GAUUGCAUCUUAGAACUUGGUCCAUCCAAAUGGAUGUGGACUAGGAUUCUAGACUAAAUAUUACAAGUUUUCUAUAUGUUACCUUAAUUGGUUGCAUAUAGUAGCUAGUAAGUUUACCUUGAAAAAAUUAGAGUGCUCAAUGCGGGCUUAAUGCCUGAAUACUCGUGCAUGGAAUAAUAAAAUAGGAUCUUGGUUCUAUUUUGUUGGUUUUCUGAUCUAAGAUAAUGGUUAAGAGGGACGGACGGGGGCAUUCGUAUCGCUACGUGAGAGGUGAAAUUCUUGGACCGUAGCGAGACGUACAACUGCGAAAGCAUUUGCCAAGAAUGUCUUCAUUAAUCAGGAACGAAAGUCAGAGGUUCGAAGGCGAUCAGAUACCGCCCUAGUUCUGACCGUAAACGAUACCAACUAGCGUUCCGUCGGCGGUAAAUACGCCUUGA